GGAUGCGAUCAUACCAGCACUAAAGCACCGGAUCCCAUCAGAACUCCGAAGUAAAGCGUGCUUGGCGAGAGUAGUACUAG
rnacentral:rRNA from 16 species